GAUGAACGCUGGCGGUAUGCCUAACACAUGCAAGUCGAACGGAGUUCUUCGGAACUUAGUGGCGGACGGGUGAGUAACACGUGAGAACCUACCUUCAGAAUGGGGACAACAGUUGGAAACGACUGCUAAUACCCAAUGUGCCGAAAGGUGAAAGAUUUAUCGUCUGAAGAUGGGCUCGCGUCUGAUUAGCUAGAUGGUGGGGUAAGAGCCUACCAUGGCAACGAUCAGUAGCUGGUCUGAGAGGAUGAGCAGCCACACUGGGACUGAGACACGGCCCAGACUCCUACGGGAGGCAGCAGUGGGGAAUUUUCCGCAAUGGGCGAAAGCCUGACGGAGCAAUACCGCGUGAGGGAGGAAGGUCCUUGGAUUGUAAACCUCUUUUAUCAGGGAAGAAGUUCUGACGGUACCUGAUGAAUAAGCAUCGGCUAACUCCGUGCCAGCAGCCGCGGUAAUACGGAGGAUGCAAGCGUUAUCCGGAAUUAUUGGGCGUAAAGCGUCCGUAGGUGGUUAUGCAAGUCUGCCGUUAAAGAAUGGAGCUUAACUCCAUAGGAGCGGUGGAAACUGCAAGACUAGAGUACAGUAGGGGUAGCAGGAAUUCCCAGUGUAGCGGUGAAAUGCGUAGAUAUUGGGAAGAACAUCGGUGGCGAAAGCGUGCUACUGGGCUGAAACUGACACUGAGGGACGAAAGCUAGGGUAGCGAAAGGGAUUAGAUACCCCUGUAGUCCUAG
rnacentral:rRNA from 1 species